rnacentral:lncRNA from 1 species
GCUUCUAGACUGAACAAGGCACGAACUAUGAGUAGAUCAGGAUAUCAUUAGGAGUAGAAGAAAGAGGCUACCACAUAGUAGAACUUCUAUAGACUUGGUGAAAGUGUGAGGCAGUUUUCAUCUGUGAUGGCAGAAAGAAAUGCAAAGACUGGGUGCCCAAAGCUGAAAGACUUUUAAAAAUUUAAAAGAAAUUUUGGAUUUUUAAAGAGACAUGAUAUUUUAUUAAGGAGACAACUUUUAAUGUGUUUGUAUUGAAAUAACUUGGGAGCAAGGUCACAUGGUGCCUAAUUGGCAACCAAUCUUGAGGAACCAAUAUUCACAUUAGAAUGCAAACAGCAUCAGGUCAAGCCACUACAUUUUAUACACAGAUCUGUAUUCACCACGGGUCUACAGAAUGUCAUAGGACUCUCCUCAAGCUGUCUGAUGACCAUGUCCCAACUGAAAUAGCCUCAAGGAAGAAGAUCUGCCCCAAACCCUCCUUAUAUAGUUACCUGCAAGGCUAGAUCCCUACUACAGAGCCCUGACUAUAGCAUGACCAUGCCAACCAGAAGACUGUUUCUAUGGAGGAAUCAAUCAAAAACCUGAUUUAACAAAGCAUGUCUGAGACUGGUGAAGUAG